UACGUAGGGGGCAAGCGUUGUCCGGAAUCAUUGGGCGUAAAGAGCGUGUAGGCGGCCAGAUAAGUCCGCUGUGAAAACUCGAGGCUCAACUUCGAGCUGUCGGCGGAAACUAUCUGGCUAGAGUCCGGAAGAGGCGAGUGGAAUUCCCGGUGUAGCGGUGAAAUGCGCAGAUAUCGGGAGGAACACCUAUGGCGAAGGCAGCUCGCUGGGACGUUACUGACGCUGAGACGCGAAAGCGUGGGGAGCAAACAGG
rnacentral:rRNA from 1 species